UACGUAGGGUGCAAGCGUUGUCCGGAUUUAUUGGGCGUAAAGAGCUCGUAGGCGGUUCGGUAAGUCGGAUGUGAAAACUUUGGGCUCAACCCAAAGCGUGCAUUCGAUACUGCCAUGACUAGAGUUCGGUAGGGGAGUGGGGAAUUCCCAGUGUAGCGGUGAAAUGCGUAGAUAUUGGGAGGAACACCAGUGGCGAAGGCGGCUCACUGGAUAGGCACUGACACUCAACAACGAAAGCGUGGGGAGCAAACAGG
rnacentral:rRNA from 1 species